AAUUUGGGAAUUAAUAAAUUUAUAUUUAAUAAAAAUAAUUUUAAUUUAAUAAAUAUUUUAAUGGGGGUUAAAGUAUUUUUUAAAGAAAAAAUUAUUAAUUUUAUAGUAUAAUAGUAUUGUGUAAGAAUUUUGAAAUAAUUGAAAAUUUAAUUUUAAUAAAGUAAUUUUUAUUUGAUGUAUCUUGUGUAUCAGAGUUUAUUUAAAAUUUUUAAUUUUUAAAUUAAUUUCUCGAAUUUAAAAGAGUUAAAUAAUUAUUAAAUUUAUUGUUGCAAAAAUAUUUUAAAUAAUUAUUUAGAAAUGAAAUGUUAAUCGUUUUUAAAUAUAUCUAGUUUUUAUAGAAAAAAUUUUAAUUUUAAAUUUAAUUUUAUUAUUAAUUAAUUAAUUAAUUAAAUAAUUAUUUAAAUUUUAUAUUUUAAGGGAUAAGCUUUAAAUUAAAUUUUUAUAAUAAAAAAAAUAUUUAUUUUUGAAAAUUUUAUAAUUUAUAUUGUUAAUAAAUUUUAUUUUAUUAUAAAUAAUUUCAUUUUAUUAAAAAAUUUAAAUUUUUAUUUAAUUUUUUAUAUAAAAUUUAUUUUUAAUUAUUAAAAAUUAAUUAUAAUGAUAAAAUUAGUAUAUUAUAUUUUAAAAAUUAUUUUUAAUUUGAAUUUUAUUAUUUAAUUUAAUUAAUUAAAAGGAAUUCGGCAAAUAUUUAUUUUCACUUGUUUAUCAAAAACAUGUCUUUUUGUUGAUUUAUUUAAAGUCUAAUCUGCCCACUGAUUUUAAUUGAAGGGCUGCAGUAUUUUGACUGUACAAAGGUAGCAUAAUCAUUAGUCUCUUAAUUGGUGACUUGUAUGAAAGAUUGGAUGAGAAAUAUACUGUCUCUUAAUUAAUGUAUAGAAUUUAAUUUUUUAUUUAAAAAGUUAAAAUAAAUUAAAAAGACGAGAAGACCCUAUAGAGUUUAAUAAAUUUUUUUAUGAUAAUUUUAUUUGUAUUAAAAAUUGAAAUAAUUUUAUAAAUUUAUUUAUUUUAUUGGGGUGAUAGAAAAAUAAAUUUAACUUUUUUUAAAGAAUUUAACAAAAAUAUAUGAUUAAAUGAUCCAGUUUAUUAUUGAUUAAAAGAUUAAAUUACCUUAGGGAUAACAGCGUAAUUUUUUUUUUUAGUUCGAAUAAUAAAAAAAGUUUGCGACCUCGAUGUUGGAUUAAGAUAAAAUUUAAAUGUAAAAGUUUAAAAUUUUUGAUCUGUUCGAUCAUUAAAAUCUUACAUGAUCUGAGUUCAAACCGGUGUAAGCCAGGUUGGUUUCUAUCUUUUAAAAAAAUUAUAUAUUUUAGUACGAAAGGAUCAAAUAUUUUAAUUAAAUUAUGGUAAUUAAUGAAUUUUAUUAAGUUUUGUUUAAUUUUUAAAUUGUUUUUAUUAUUAAUUUAUUUUUUAAUAAAAAUUAUAUAUAUUGAUGAAUAAUAUAUAUAUAUAUAUAUAUAAUUUUAUUUUUAAUAAUGCUAUU
rnacentral:rRNA from 1 species